UGGGGAAUAUUGGACAAUGGGCGCAAGCCUGAUCCAGCCAUGCCGCGUGAGUGAUGAAGGCCUUAGGGUUGUAAAGCUCUUUCGCCGGUGAAGAUAAUGACGGUAACCGGAGAAGAAGCCCCGGCUAACUUCGUGCCAGCAGCCGCGGUAAUACGAAGGGGGCUAGCGUUGCUCGGAAUCACUGGGCGUAAAGCGCACGUAGGCGGAUCGUUAAGUCAGGGGUGAAAUCCUGGAGCUCAACUCCAGAACUGCCCUUGAUACUGGCGAUCUCGAGUUCGAGAGAGGUUGGUGGAACUCCGAGUGUAGAGGUGAAAUUCGUAGAUAUUCGGAAGAACACCAGUGGCGAAGGCGGCCAACUGGCUCGAUACUGACGCUGAGGUGCGAAAGCGUGGGGAGCAAAACAGGAUUAGAUACCCUGGUAGUCCACGCCGUAAACGAUGGAUGCUAGCCGUUGGGGGUUUGACCUCUCAGUGGCGCAGCUAACGCCUUAAGCAUCCCGCCUGGGGAGUACGGUCGCAAGAUUAAAACUCAAAUGAAUUGACGGGGUCAUAGCUGUUUCCU
rnacentral:rRNA from 1 species